AAAUAUUAUGAUUUUGAUUUAGCAGCACACAGCAUCGAAAUAGUGAGAUAGAUAAAGUAGACUAAUUUGAACCAAAACUUCUGACGCCAACAGCAAAGAAGUGUGUCAUAAUUCAUUUGGAAAUCUUUAUUCAUGGAAGCACUUUCUGAGUGUCAAUGCGCGAGAGAUCAGUGAGCAGUUGGGAGAGAGAGAUGCCGUCACAUCAGUGCUCUAUGGGAUCUGUGGAAGUGGAUUGGGGGGGGUGAUAGAACACAACAGAACUGGGACUCCAGAGUUAACCAGGACCUUUCAUGGUGGAGGUGGAGAAACCAGCUGUGUGUGAUGAAGAAUGCCAAGGUCCGGCUCAGCGAUCACAGGAACAGAAAUAGAGCCGAAGACCCAGAAAAUCAUCUGCCUCGAGCGAAAGAGAGGAAGAGAAAAGGGGGGGUAGUUCUGCCAGGUGUCUGCAUUUUCUGAAUGCAGCUUCUUAUGGAUUCCUCCAAAGCCAGCUGAGAGCACCUUGAUUAAAGCAAUUGAUGUAGAUUGCUAUGGGGUUUGAAACGUGUGUGUUUUUCUUAGUGUUUGUUCAAAACUAUUUGGACACACUAUUUGGACCUAGACACAGAAAUGUGCAUCCUAAAUGUGGUCACUGUUUCCCAUUUCAGCUUUAAUGGGCUACCCACCACCAGAACACAGCUCAGAGCAGGCUUCUGAUUCUUAUGUAACAG